rnacentral:rRNA from 1 species
CACGUAGGGGGCGAGCGUUGUCCGGAUUUAUUGGGCGUAAAGAGCGUGUAGGCGGCCAUGUAGGUCCGGUGUGAAAACUCGAGGCUUAACCUCGAGAUGUCAUCGGAAACCAUUUGGCUAGAGUCCGGAAGAGGAGAGUGGAAUUCCUGGUGUAGCGGUGAAAUGCGCAGAUAUCAGGAAGAACACCAAUGGCGAAAGCAGCUCUCUGGGACGGUACUGACGCUGAGACGCGAAAGCGUGGGGAGCGAACAGG